UUUUAGUGUUUGAUGAUGUUGUUACCUAGGUGAUAUCUGGGACGGAUCCUGACUAUCCGUUCUAAAUUAAGAAACGCUCUUCCCCGUGCACCAGAAAAGCAACUUUAUGCUCCUGCCAUACUUCAUACAUCACUUGCAAGGAUUCUUGGUCACCCAAAAAAUUCAUCCAAGGAAACGAAUGUGGAUUCAGAACUGAAACACUUUCAUGAAUUAGUAGCUCGUUUGCACAGUUGCA